CGAACUUCAGCGCGCUAUUGUAUCUGAAUUACUCUGCGUAUGAACGAGAUUUUUUCACAUUCGGAAAGAUCAUGCUUUUAGCUGUUGAAUGAUAUCUUCUUCAUGCCAAAUGGAUAAAAAAUGAGCAAAUACGAAUCCGAUAAAAAGUGUUAGUCAGAAUCGCAUAUUUUCACCGUUGAGAGUUGGGUCUAAAACCAUUGAAAAUGAACCCCCUUUGGUACUUAAGUUGAUGAAUUUCACUUCAAUAAACGACGCACAUAUUCAUAAUUAU